GUGGUGAGUCCUGGAGCCCACCCCCGCGAAGAUUCUUCCCGACCCAUAAGGCAGAGGGCCUGCAUGACGUUUUUUCCUCCAAGUUUAAUUACCGUAUGCUAAUUUCCUUGCCUACUACGUGAUUAAUUAAAAUCAUAUUUUCAUAAUCAUUUGGCACCGGCAUUGUUUUAGAAUGAUCAUGAUCUCCUAAAUAGCGUCUGCAAAUAAAGUCGCCUCUAAUGGCAGGCGCGGGAGGCCGGGCUGAGGACCUCUCCGUGUUUGUAUCGCCGCGAUUGGCAACAUAAGUGCCUUAUUUACACUAAAUACGCCACAAGGUUACAGCGCGGAUCAACGUCAUUUGAUCGGUGAUGACUCCCUUAAACGCCGGGGCUGGGACCGCUGCUCCGCGACCCGCCGUCCACCCAGAUGCACCCGGGAGUUCCUUUUCCCCCCAGAAAAGAAACAGACUUUAAAUAGUUUCGGGAGCAGGGACCUGGGACGGCCCUCCCGCAAGCUGUCAGUGCCGGGGCCAGCUGCCUCCUUUCGAGGGUGUUUCUCGCCAGACUGACAGUCCCUACGACAGCAUGCAGUUGAGCUAAGGGAUGGAAGAAGCCAGCCUGUGCCUUGGAGUGUCCA